GACGAACGCUGGCGGCGUGCCUAAUGCAUGCAAGUCGAGCGGAAGUUGAAGAGCUUGCUCUUCAACUUUAGCGGCGGACGGGUGAGUAACACGUGGGCAACCUGCCCUGCAGAUCGGGAUAACUCCGGGAAACCGGUGCUAAUACCGAAUAGUUUUCGCCACCUCCUGGUGGCGUACGGAAAGACGGUUUCGGCUGUCACUGCAGGAUGGGCCCGCGGCGCAUUAGCUAGUUGGUGGGGUAACGGCCCACCAAGGCAACGAUGCGUAGCCGACCUGAGGGGGUGAUCGGCCCCACUGGGACGGGGACACGGCCCAGACUCCUACGUGAGGCAGCAGUAGGGAAUCUUCCGCAAUGGACGAAAGUCUGACGGAGCAACGCCGCGUGAGUGACGAAGGUUUUCGGAUCGUAAAACUCUGUUGUGAGGGAAGAACAAGUACCACUUAACUACUGGUACCUUGACGGUACCUCACCAGAAAGCCACGGCUAACUACGUGCCAGCAGCCGCCGUAAAAC
rnacentral:rRNA from 1 species